CAGAUGCUUAGACUUUAACUGGAUUUUUUCAAACACACAAGUCUCCACUCAUUCUGAUCUUCCCAUACCACAGCAUGGUUAGACAUUAGCAUUCACACAAUUACCUUAUGAUUACUUCUUUCAGCCAGGUAGUUUGUACGACACAUUCGUUCAGAGCAACGUACCCUGUGGUGUGUUUAUCAUGCUGCACACGGACACUGAAGGAGUCAUCACAAGCUUAUAGCAUUAUAUAUAUUAUUAGAUCAAUCAUAUGACCCUUUUACUCCAGUGGGACAUCCAUAGAUCUACUAUCUCCAUAAUUAAGUAUAAUUAAUAGUUAUCUUAUAUAACAGUUAUAAUUAAUCUAGACUUAAAAACCAACAACAAAAAACAAACAAGCCACAUCUGACACAAAGUGACAUAUAACACACAAGCUGAGCUUAAAGUGGUUCACAAUCUUGCUUAAUUUUUACUCGUACGGGGGUUUCCCUUAUAAGCCCUCAUGGCUUCACAAAUUCUUCGUAAUCCUACCAGUGAUCAAUCAGUUACCUUUCCCUGUUUGUUUGUAUUUUUUUUUUCUCCACACUGGUGUCUGCUACUCACAAAGUCCUUCACAGACUAAUGGGCUCUCACUCACCAUCAAGGUAUUACAGAAUUUAAACACGAACGUGACUUAACCAAUACCAAGCGCUACAACACCCAAAGUGUUUCCGUAAACAGAGAUGGUUCAUAACACUGUACUCACAAUCUGAAUGGGGCGUCCGCUGUCCGCCACCCGGACCCAGCAUCAGGCGGGAUUCCAACGCUCCAUUUGUUGGAGCGGAAAUUUCCCUGAAUCUCCUAUGAGAUUCCCACCGGUGGUUUACCUUCAGUCUGGGCCAGGCGUCGAUCAACGGAACAUCCAUCCCACUUCUGACACCAAAUUGUUGUGGAAAUCUUCUUAUAAAGAUCAUCAGUGUGAUAAACCAUCUCAAAGUUUACUCUCAUGUCGACACGGAGUGGAUCACAAUUACAUCUAAGACGUAAGCCACAUCUCACAUUGUACAAAGUAUCCACUGAAGGACUGAGGAGACAAGACUUGUAUUUAUACCCUGUUACAAACCCCCACAUGAGCUGUUGACUGGUCUUUGAUAUACAUGAGUGCAGUAAACCCCCCUUUACUUCCUUUAACAAUGUUCCCAUGGUCACUACAGUGAAACCCCCACCAUUUGAUAACCAAAUGCUUGAUAACCCCCCAGGAACAACCCUCAGCCAGAGGCACAGCAUCUCAUGACAAACACAGAAUUUCCCACACAUAACAUUAGCUUCAGAUUCUACUGUGAGGAACCUUGGUGUCAUCUUUGACCAGGAUCUCUCUUUUACACCAUACAUUAAACAAAUCUCCAGAACCGCCUACUUUCAUCUUAGAAAUAUAGCUAAAAUCAGAAGCAUCCUCUCAGAGCGAUGCAGAGAAACUGAUCCAUGCAUUUGUUACCUCUAAACUGGACUUAGAAAGAGAGAUCUCAUUUCUCCUACAUUAGCUUCUCUGCACUGGCUGCCUGUAUAAUGUAGGAUAGAAUUUAAAAUUCUCCUACUCACCUACAAAGUACUCAAUGAUAAAGCUUCUUCUUAUCUUAAAGACCUCAUAGUUCCUUAUGCUCCCAGCAGAACACCUCCCAUAAUUGUUCUAUGUUUAACUAACCUUGUCUCUUUCUCUCCAGUAGUUGUGCUUUUCUCUCGCUCUCUCACUCUCUCUUUCCUCCACUCUGUCCUCACCUACAGGUAUUAUUGGACUCAAAGUUGGGUGUCUGUGAUGGGCAGCUGCGGAUCCAAACAUUCUGCCUGUAUCCAGUCCCUGGUCCAACUGCCCUGCCUGUGCUUUGUUGUUGCUUGUUGCUGUUGCUGUACUUUUCUCUCUAUCCCCUCACCCCAACCGGUCGAGGCAGAUGGCUGCCCACAUCCAGCCUGGUUCUGCUGGAGGUUUCUUUCUCGUUAGAGAGGGAGUUUUUCCUCUCCACUGUUGCUGUCAAUUUAAAUGACGGACCCACAUGCACGGCACAGACAACUGUAGGUGAUGGUAGAAAAGGGUUUAUUGGACAAAGACAAGGUCAGGUUCAGGUGAGGUCAUACACAGGUAAGCGCUGGACUAAAGUACAAAGGGUCAGGCAGUCUCAUGUCCGUGGACCUGGCAGGGUUAGAUAACAUACGGGCUCGGAUUGCGGUACAGAACAGGAUGAGACAGUCUCGUGGUCAAAAAACCGGCUGAGUCGUUACCAGACAGGAUCGGUUGACAAGGCAGACAAGGAGUAGGCAGGAAUCGGUAACUGUGGUCAGAACAAGGUCAGGAUCAUGAGGCAGGACAACAACAGGAACGCUGGAAAGUGGUGAAAUGCACGCAACAAUCUGGCAACUGGCUGGUGUGUGAGGUGGAGACUAAGUACUGGUGCUGAUUACUAAUUAUUGUCAGGUGUGCAUGAUGAGGACCGGUGAUGACAUGAAAAUAGCUGUGGUGUGAGUGUAGCAGAAAGUCCUUCAAAGUAAAACCGGAACUGAAACCCCAAACUAUGACAAUUAGUAAUCUGCAUCAGAGAUGAAGAACUUUUAGAAAAUUUCAGUGUUUCGAGUAGGAUGUAUACAACUCCUCUGAGCAGUGAUGUAAGCACUGUGGCUGAGUGGCAAAAGAAUGUGACUCUGAUGCAGGAAUUCCUGUUUCAAAACCUGGCUGGAACAAGUCUUCCAACAAAAUUCAGAAGAAGCAAUUACAGCAAUGUAGUCAUGUGUGAAACAUUUUAUAGUUUUUAUUGAAAUCAAACUGCUUUUGUUUUAUUUGUGCACUUUCAGCUCUGCAACUUCUUUGCAGAUCUGGGGCCCGUUUCAAGAAGGAGGUUUAACAAACUCUAAGUUUAAACGAAACUCUGAGUUGAUUUACUCUGAGUUUGCAAACCUGGCGUUUUCGGUUUCAGAACAGCUGAAAAGAGUUGGUUUAAGCAACUCUGAGUUGAAUGACUCAGAGUUAAGCGCGUGCACCGCGACGAUACAAAGCCCUGAUCAAUGGAGUGAAGAUAUUACGAGUCACCAUGGCAACAGGAAAACAAAAGACGGCCGGAAAUGGAUAUGACCUCAAGCAUAUAGCGACUACGAGCCUAUAUUCGGUAGAAAAAGCAACACGGCUGCAGCGGCAAAAGAGAAAGAAUUAGCUUGGAAGAAAAUAGCUGCUCGAGAAAAUGCCCAACAGAAAGUAGGCAGAGGCUAGAACAACUGGUGGAGGACCUGCACCUCCACCACUGACGCAUGCAGAGGAGAAGGCCCUCAGCAUGAACACUGGAAAGCAGGGGGUGAAGGAAUUCCUGGAGGGAGUUCAUCAGAACCAGUCACUCCCCAGGAUACAAGUGCAUUUGUAAAAUAUUCUGAUGGUAAUAUAUAAAUCCGCCUGUCACAACAGAAACCCAGGAUGUUAGUGUGGAAGAACAGCAGGAGGAGGGUCCGUCACAUUCUGCUGCACAGAUGCACACAGUUCAGUGAUGUUCAGUGAUGCCAGAGUUCCAUUCUGUAAGAGUAAUGAGGAACUAUGUCUUCUAACUAUAAAGGAACGUCCACUGCUCUGAACAGGAACGUCCACUGCUCUGAGCAGUGGACGUUCCUGCCUGUGGAGCCCUGUCCCAAUGACAACGGCGCAGCUGCAGCAGAUAAGGGAUUGAGCUCAUUAGCACUUUGACUUACAAGUCACACUCUCUAUGCUCAGUGAACUGAUGAGUUCAUUGCACUGUUGAUUCCCCAUAAGCGCAGUUGUAGACAUUAAGCUUUUUUAAACAACCUGGUUUUUCAUAUAGUUAUGGGGCAGCAUUCAACAAUAUAUGCAAAUUUAUAGCACAAUGCAUUGUGGGUGAUGCACCUUGACAGAACGUGGUGUUAAUAGGAGUGACCGUUGCAAUAAAUAAUGGACAAUCUUUGGAUUAGGCUCUACAUGUUGACAUAAGAGACAAAUCUUUAUGUUAAAUUACAACAUUUACUUAUUUAAUUUAAAUUGCUUUUUUAAUCACAGAAUACUCUUCAGCUUUUUUCUUUUCAAUACAGUAGAAUAAUCUUUUUUGCAUUGUUUGCUUUUUUUAUAUUAAAAUACACAUGUUUGGUUUAGGUUAAUUCUGUCCUCACUACUGCACCAUUAAGCAGGAAAUUAAAUCCAUUAUGUGUUUGAGUGAAAUCAUUCAUGUGCUCAAUUUAGACUGUGCAGGCAAGGGGACACUAAGCAAUAGCUUGGUGAGCUUCCUUUGUAGAAAGCAAGCCACAUUUGUUUUUCACACACCCAAGUAAUCAUUGCUCGUUGAUGGUCUGCUGCGAGCCACUACAAUGUUAAAAUUGAAAUUGCAAUGAUUGAUGCAUGAUUUUGUAUUAAAAUAUUCUCAUUUGCUGUAGGUUUAGAAGUGUGAUAUUGCUUUUCUCAUUCAUAUGUUUUUUAGGAAUUCUCAGCUUUUCCAUUAGUGUGUGUUGGCUCUAAUUGAGUGGGAGAUUUCACAGCUAGAGUGUAGAAAGAUGCUUUCUUACGCCAGAACUUUUCUCUUUAACUCAUCACUACAGCCACAGUUUUCACUCUAUCAACGUAUUUUCUUCACUCGUUUGUAGUCAUACUUGUCUUCUUACCAACGAUGUGCCUGGCUAAGCCAUCAAAACUAUACUUUAGUCUGUAUCUGCCUCAAAGCACAUAGAGUUCCAGAAAUCCUCCCAUUCACGCCAAUGGAAAAUACUCUCUAACAUCUGGGUAAAACCACAGAGGGACAGGUAUUUUUAAAUCGCGAAUGUGGCCACAAUUUUCAAUCUUCAAGCAUAAAACGCACACCAGGUGAUCAUUGAAGCCUUGGUAUUCAUAAAGUGAAGUUAUUUUUGUGAUAAUCUUUAUGGUUUUGGUGUAACAAGCCUGUUAAGCUGGGGUGGAAAUCAGCCUCACUCCAGCUCUCUGUGCUGAGCAGUGCAGGUCUCUGCCUUUGGAGCGCGGUCCCCAUGACAACGGCGCAGCUGCAGCAGAUAAGGGAUUGAGCUCAUUAGCACUUUGAUUUACAAGUCAAACUCCUUAUGCUCAGUGAACUGAUGAGUUCAUUGCACUGUUGAUUUCCCAUAAAAGCAGUUGUAGACAUUAAGCUUUUUUUAACUACCUGGUUUUUCAUAUAGUUGAGGGGGUGUUUUUAAGGAAUUAUUUCAACAUUACAGCAUUUAACAAUAUAUGCAAAUUUAUAGCACAAUGCAUGGUGGGUAAUGCACCAUGACAGAAACUGAUGGUAAUUGAAGUGGCCAUUGCAAUGAUGUUUAAUGUUAUUGUAAUUUAAUUUAUAUUUAAUUUAUAAUAUUAUAAUAUUAUGUUUAAUUACAUUAUUCUAGGCUUUUCAAUAAUUUAAAAAUUAUCAUUAAAUUUUUGUUUUAGUCACAGAAUGCUCUUUAGCUUUGAACUUUUGCUUAUACAGCAGAAAAUUCACUGAUGCGUCAUUUUGUAUUAAACUAUGCACAAUAGACUGAGUUUACACUUUUUAGACUACAGCAACAUUCAACCAAUUAAUGUAUCAGUCCUUCUUUUCAUACAGCAAGCGCGACCAAUUAACUGGCUGUCCAGUUAAUUCCUACAUUUAUUCUACAGGGGGAAACGUUCAUGUUGCAGGUGCUCAGAUUAGACUGUGCAGACAAAGAGACUUGAAACAAUACCACCUCUUGAUGUGCUUUCUUAGUAGAGAGCCUUUUUUUUUUUCAUGCACCCAACAAAGCACUGCUCAUUGAUGGUCACUCCCUCACUCACGGUGUACCAGACAAAAACAAACAAAAACAAAAAGAACACAUUACAAGCAUAAAUUAACAAAAUACUGAAUUAAUUUCACCAAAGUCAUAACAUUUUUUGAAUCCUAACUUUAGCUUAAACACUACAAACACAAGAACGGUUGUUUUACCCAUAAGCCUUAUGGGUAAAACAGGGCGGGACUUAUAGCUGUGAGCCACUACAAUAUGGUAAACUUGAAAUUGCAAUGAUUGAUGCAUGAGUUUGUAAUAAAAUUUUCUCAUUUGCUUUAGGUCCACCGUUUUGGGACUGUUGCAACUCUCAAGUCGUUUACUGAACCAAUAAAUAUGUUAUAUUCACACACACACACACACACACACACACACACACACACACACACACACACACACACACACACACACACACACACACACACACACAU